rnacentral:rRNA from 1 species
CGAUUACGGGGUGCUGCAGUGGGGAAUUUUGGACAAUGGGGGCAACCCUGAUCCAGCAAUGCCGCGUGAGUGAAGAAGGCCUUCGGGUUGUAAAGCUCUUUUGUCAGGGAAGAAACAGUGAGUUCUAAUACAGCUUGCUAAUGACGGUACCUGAAGAAUAAGCACCGGCUAACUACGUGCCAGCAGCCGCGGUAAUACGUAGGGUGCAAGCGUUAAUCGGAAUUACUGGGCGUAAAGCGUGCGCAGGCGGUUAUGUAAGACAGAUGUGAAAUGCCCGGGCUCAACCUGGGAACUGCAUUUGUGACUGCAUGGCUAGAGUGUGUCAGAGGGGGGUAGAAUUCCACGUGUAGCAGUGAAAUGCGUAGAUAUGUGGAGGAAUACCGAUGGCGAAGGCAGCCCCCUGGGAUAACACUGACGCUCAUGCACGAAAGCGUGGGGAGCAAACAGGAUUAGAUACCCUGGUAGUCCACGCCCUAAACGAUGA